rnacentral:rRNA from 1 species
GACGAACGCUGGCGGCGUGCUUAACACAUGCAAGUCGAGCGGAAAGGCCCACUUGUGGGUACUCGAGCGGCGAACGGGUGAGUAACACGUGAGUAAUCUGCCCCCUACUCUGGGAUAACGUUCAGAAAUGGGUGCUAAUACCGGAUGUUCACAGGCUGACGCAUGUUGGUGUGUGGAAAGGGUUUUUCUGGUGGGGGAUGUGCUCGCGGCCUAUCAGCUUGAAGGUGGGGUAAUGGCCUACCUUGGCUUUGACGGGUAGCCGGCCUGAGAGGGUGGCCGGCCACACUGGGACUGAGACACGGCCCAGACUCCUACGGGAGGCAGCAGUGGGGAAUAGUGGACAAUGGGCGGAAGCCUGAUCCAGCAACGCCGCGUGAGGGAUGACGGCCUUCGUGUUGUAAACCUCUUUCACCAUUGACGAAGCUGCAUCUUUUUGGGUGUGGUGACGGUAGGUGGGGAAGAAGCACCGGCCAACUACGUGCCAGCCGCCGCCGUAACAC